rnacentral:rRNA from 1 species
CCUACGGGUGACAGCAGUGGGGAAUAUUGCACAAUGGGGGAAACCCUGAUGCAGCGACGCCGCGUGAGUGAAGAAGUACUUCGGUAUGUAAAGCUCUAUCAGCAGGGAAGAAAAUGACGGUACCUGAGUAAGAAUCCCCGGCUAACUACGUACCAGCAGCCGCGGUAAUACGUAGGGGGCAAGCGUUAUCCGGAUGUACUGGGGGUAAAGGGAGCGGAGACGGCAGUGAAAGUCGGGAGUGAAAGGCGGGGGCUCAAACCCCGGACUGCUCUGGAAACUGCACGGCUGGAGUGCAGGAGAGGUAAGUGGAAUUCCUAGUGUAGCGGUGAAAUGCGUAGAUAUUAGGAGGAACACCAGUGGCGAAGGCGGCUUACUGGACUGUAACUGACGUUGAGGCUCGAAAGCGUGGGGAGCAAACAGGAUUAGAUACCCUUGUAGUC